UUUUGCGAUUUAUGGAUUGAAUCCGGCGUGCAUGCAACACGAAGUGGACGAUCACAAACGAGGAGGUACAAUCACGAUCGAACGCAAGACUGUAGUACGGUUGCGCGACUAGAAAACGUUCCGAGGGAACAACAGAGGGCCGCUAGAUUACGGUCAAGAACGACACACAGACGGCAAGGCAGAAUUGGAUUCCGGCGGAGUCAGCAGGGAAUUUCAAUUGAACUUGAUUGUGGAUAGGACGGUUACAAGGAGCAGGAAAGGAUUUCCGGAAAGGAUCAA